rnacentral:rRNA from 1 species
GACGAACGCUGGCGGCGUGCUUAACACAUGCAAGUCGAGCGGAAAGGCCCUUCGGGGUACUCGAGCGGCGAACGGGUGAGUAACACGUGAGUAACCUGCCCCAGACUUUGGGAUAACCCUCGGAAACGGGGGCUAAUACCGGAUACGACACAGCUUCGCAUGGGGGCUGUGUGGAAAGUUUUUCGGUUUGGGAUGGGCGCGCGGCCUAUCAGCUUGUUGGUGGGGUGAUGGCCUACCAAGGCGACGACGGGUAGCCGGCCCGAGAGGGCGAACGGCCACAAGGGGCCUGAGAGACGGAGCAGACUGGUACGGGCGGCAACAGUGGGGAACAUUGCGCAAUGGGGGCACGCCUGAUGCAGAGACCCUGGGUGCGGGAAGCCCGCUUUCGAGUUAUAAACAUAUUUCAGCGGAACUGAAGACUACGUGACGGUACCUGCACAAGAAGCCACGGCCAACUACGUG